CACAUGUUCUUCUGCCUGUGAAAUAUUAACAAUAAUAAUAGCUACUAUCAGCAAGUAUUUAGUAUAGAUUAGUCACUGCUGUAUUUUUUGUGUACAUUAUUGUUUGAAUCCUCACAAUAGUCCUGUGAGGUGAGGUAGGAGCCAUUAUUAUCCCUGUUUUACAGAUGAGGACUGAAUACACAGAAAGAUUAAGUUACACACAUGAUGUCACACAGCUACAUGGAGCUUGGCUGGAACCCUAGAGAGAUUAUCCCAGGGUGUCUGCUUUUUUCCCAUUACUUUAUGAAGUACUCUCAAAUCAUCAUAAGUGGGUGAUGUUUCAAACUUUUUAAAGAUCAAAAAUCUGGAGGUAGCCCAUUUCAAUGCUAACUGUUGGAAUCAAGCAGAGAGGGAGAUUUUUUGACCAAUAUAUUCCUCUAUGCCAUAGAGUCUAUGGGUCCCUUCAGUCUUUCUUCUAGAUUCUGUUUAUUCUAUUGUGGAGCCUCUUUAAACGUUGCAGUUUUCCACAAAUUUCCCUAAACAUGGUGAUUGGCUGACUAUUCCGAGACGGCAGUAUCGGAAGCAGUGGGAACUGACAGUGACGACACCCUACGUCUCAGACAGGGCUUUGUUGUAGAACUCUUAGCGUAUCUUCUUUCUCUUAUAGAUGAGGAAGGACAUGGAGGACUUUCCAGGAGCAGAUCUGGGUUAGAGCCUGUCUCCUGAAGCCACUGCCACUCCACAGUGCUGCGUCUUCCCACCUUUCCCCUGUCACUUGAGACUUAAGGAGCCCGUCCUGCCUUUGCUGUCAGCGGAGGUCAUCUGACUCUGCCAUCUGACGCUGCCGGCGACCAAACCACCCAGCGACUUCAUCCUGCUUGUGCCUGGCUGGUGGUAGAAGAGAGCAACGUUUUCCCAAAGCCUUUUUAUAUCCUGGCUAAUUUCAGCUUUUAGUUAAAAUCAGGGUAUUCAUGAUCACAACUUCAAUAAAGUUAUUUUAUUUAUA